GUUCUAUUCUCAUAUGACUUCCAUGAAUGUGCUUGGUACUUCUGCACUUCUCCCCUCAGCCUUUUUCUGAAGACACGUUUAUUUAUAUGUCUUCAUAGAAUCAACCAGGCUGGAAGAGACCUCCAAGAUCAUCCAGUUCAACCUAUCUCCCAGCUUUAUCCAAUCACAGGUUUAAAAGACAGAACCGCUUUCAAAGUUGCUUCAUUUGCCAUGAACUCAAGACCUGUAUUGCCAUCCUCCAAAUCCUACCAUCCCCCAGUAAUGCACUCUGGAUGCUGCUGCUUGUUGAGAGAGAAAAUGUUAACAGAAAAAGUGAAAAACCUCCAGUAGCAGGAGUGGGAGCUGAGAAGUGUGCUAUCUUGCAAAGUAGAUCCUUCAGACAAUCAACAAUGAAGCUUCUAAAGAAGAAUCUUCUGAAGAAGCUUCUAAAAACCUUCCCUUUGCUUCCCUUCCCUCUACAAAAUCAGCUGUGGAGCAGGGAGAGGCUUUCCCUUCUUCCAAGCACAUGGUGACAUCUUACUGAUAAGUGGUUUUCCCUGACUUCUGCAGCUAAUGGAGUAAUUUUCCUUUCUAGUUACUUUGAUGUCUCUCUUCUGUCUCCCAGUGAGAGAAGCACCUGUAUGUGGGUUAUUUGCAGCCAGACAACUUUAUCAUAGCCUCUUUCAAGUAAUGGGUUUGAUUUUCAUGUUCAUUAAGGUUGUUCAACAUCUGAUGAAGUGCUGGUUUUAGGACUUUGUAAUCUCCCAAGUUGGUGUAAAAGAGAUUCUGGUGCAAGAGAGAAUAAAGGCAAACACUGUCCUCACCUG